AAUUAAUAAGCUAAUUUAAGCAUUUGUUUUGAAAACUUAAGAAAGAAUUUAAAUAUUCUAUUAAUUU
rnacentral:tRNA from 1 species